rnacentral:rRNA from 1 species
GAUGAACGCUAGCUACAGGCUUAACACAUGCAAGUCGAGGGGAAACGAUGAGAGAGCUUGCUCUCUUAGGCGUCGACCGGCGCACGGGUGAGUAACGCGUAUCCAACCUACCCAUUACAGGGGGAUAACCUUGCGAAAGUAAGACUAAUACCCCAUGGCAUUUUAUGGUGGCAUCAUUAUAGGAUUAAAGAUUUAUUGGUAAUGGAUGGGGAUGCGUCUGAUUAGCUUGUUGGCGGGGUAACGGCCCACCAAGGCAACGAUCAGUAGGGGUUCUGAGAGGAAGGUCCCCCACAUUGGGACUGAGACACGGUCCAAACUCCUACGGGAGGCAGCAGUGAGGAAUAUUGGUCAAUGGGCGAGAGCUUGAACCAGCCAAGUAGCGUGCAGGAUGACGGCCCUAUGGGUUGUAAACUGCUUUUAUAGGGGAAUAAAGUGAGCUACGUGUAGUUUAUUGCAGGUACCCUAUGAAUAAGGACCGGCUAAUUCCGUG